rnacentral:rRNA from 1 species
UACAGAGGUCUCAAGCGUUGUUCGGAUUCAUUGGGCGUAAAGGGUGCGUAGGCGGCGCGGUAAGUCGGGUGUGAAAUCUCGGAGCUUAACUCCGAAACUGCAUUCGAUACUGCCGUGCUUGAGGACUGGAGAGGAGACUGGAAUUUACGGUGUAGCGGUGAAAUGCGUAGAUAUCAGGAGGAACACCAGCGGCGAAGGCGCUGCUCUGGGCCGGUACUGACGCUGAGGAGCGAAAGCGUGGGGAGCGAACAGG